rnacentral:rRNA from 1 species
GAGUUUGAUUCUGGCUCAGGAUGAACGCUAGCUACAGGCUUAACACAUGCAAGUCGAGGGGCAUCAUGGUAUUAGCUUGCUAAUACUGAUGGCGACCGGCGCACGGGUGAGUAACACGUAUCCAACCUGGCUUUCACUCAGGGAUAGCCCAUCGAAAGAUGGAUUAAUACUUGAUGGUAUAUACAUUUCGCAUGUUUUGUAUAUUAAAGAUUUAUCGGUGAUAGAUGGGGAUGCGUACCAUUAGUUUGUUGGCGGGGUAACGGCCCACCAAGACUUCGAUGGUUAGGGGUUCUGAGAGGAAGGUCCCCCACAUUGGAACUGAGACACGGUCCAAACUCCUACGGGAGGCAGCAGUGAGGAAUAUUGGUCAAUGGACGUAAGUCUGAACCAGCCAAGUAGCGUGAAGGAUGACUGCCCUCUGGGUUGUAAACUUCUUUUAUAUGUGAAUAAAUUUUCCUACGUGUAGG